rnacentral:rRNA from 1 species
GGACGAACGCUGGCGGCGUGCUUAACACAUGCAAGUCGAGCGAUGAAGCUUCUCCGGAAGUGGAUUAGCGGCGGACGGGUGAGUAACACGUGGGUAACCUGCCUUGUAGAGAGGAAUAGCCAUUCGAAAGGAUGAUUAAUACCGCAUAAUAUUGUAGCUUCGCAUGGAGCAACAAUCAAAGGAGCAAUCCGCUACAAGAUGGACCCGCGGCGCAUUAGCUAGUUGGUGAGGUAACGGCUCACCAAGGCGACGAUGCGUAGCCGACCUGAGAGGGUGAUCGGCCACAUUGGGACUGAGACACGGCCCAGACUCCUACGGGAGGCAGCAGUGGGGAAUAUUGCACAAUGGGGGAAACCCUGAUGCAAGCAACGCCGCGUGAGUGAUGACGGUCUUCGGAUUGUAAAGCUCUGUCUUCAGGGACGAUAAUGACGGUACCUGAGGAGGAAGCCACGGCUAACUACGUGCCAGCCGCCGC